ensembl:misc_RNA Metazoa_SRP Metazoan signal recognition particle RNA
GCUGGGCACGGUGGCGCGUGCCUGUAAUCCCAGCUACUCAGGAGGCUGAGGCAGGAGAAUCGCCUGAACCCAGGAGGUUCAGGUUGCGGUGAGCCGAGAUCGUGCCAUUGCACCCCAGCCUGGGUAACAAGAGCGAAACUCCGUCUCAA